UACGGAGGGUGCAAGCGUUGUCCGGAUUUAUUGGGUUUAAAGGGUGCGUAGGCGGCCCAUUAAGUCAGUGGUGAAAGCCUCCAGCUCAACUGGAGAACUGCCAUUGAUACUGGCGGGCUUGAGUACAGACGAGGUAGGCGGAAUUGAUUGUGUAGCGGUGAAAUGCAUAGAUACAAUCAAGAACACCGAUUGCGUAGGCAGCUUACUAGGCUGUAACUGACGCUGAGGCACGAAAGCGUGGGGAGCGAACAGG
rnacentral:rRNA from 1 species